AUGGUGAUUUUUUGUGAGGCUUGGAACACAAGAACAAAAAAUAUGAUAGAUUUUCGUUUGCUUUCACCUGGCGAUGAGGACGAUGCUAGCAAUGAGCAGCAAGAUCCGGCAUCUACUGUUGCUACUAUUGAUGACAAAGAGCGAUCGACAUGGCAAGCGACUGCUGGCAAUGCUGAGGAUGAUGACUUUAAGCAACUGCUACCAAUGCCGCCACCUAAUGAAACCAGUGAUGAUGUGGUUGACUUUAAGAAAGUCAUACGUUUUUGUCGACCUGAACCAUCGGUGGAGCUAUUGGCUGUGUAUCCACACUUCUUCCCCUUUGUUGGGAAAAUCGUUGUUGACGAGAAUGGUGGUCAAUUUGUCUACCACCAAGAAGAAGGAGAAAAUCCCAAACUUGACUCUGAGGAAAAUUUGGUGCUCACACGGCCAUUCGAAACUAUCUCAGGAUUCGGUUCUGGUUGCAUGACAAUUGAAAUCCCUGAGAUAAGCAGACCUGGUGUUAUUGACACUACUACUCUAGUUUUUGGAGAUUACCCAUGUGUGGAUGCCAAGCAUGAAGAUCGCCUUAUCACAACAAAGUAUGGCCGCCACCUCGUUGUGUCAUAUGUGUUGAUGAAGGAAGGCUUGGGGGUCCAUGUGCAGGUCAGCCUCCGCCUCUUUGGUGACGAUACAUUUCAGACCAUCCACUUGCACGGUCAAAUCACUGCGCAUAACCGGGUCUUCGAGGAUGACAAUGUGUUGCUCUUCUUCUGUGAGGAGGAGGAGAAGGUGCAGCUCACCCCCUCUGCUGGCAAUGGUAGUGUGAUCCUAAAGCCAAUGCAGCGGUUCAUUGUUACGGUGCCAAUCAAUCCACAGCCAUUUCUUACAAUUAAGGUACGGUUGAAUGUGACAACUCCAAGCAACGAGGGGGUUCCCAUCCCCUUUGAAGGUGAUGUUGAGUUCCCUCUUGACAGGGACCAUAGAAUUCGGACAAUCAGCACAAACCACGGUGAGGUGAAAGUCAGUAUCACGUACAAUUGA
rnacentral:rRNA from 1 species